AAUGCAUAGCCUUCGAAGUGAGAUGUGAUGUAUCGGUCACGAAUCCACGAGAGGCUUCGCAAUUUCAACAUUACUGUCUUCAAAUCUUCGUGAAACAUACCGAUGCAUGAUCUAUUCUAUCUAUUCUUGGUAUGCUGAGUAAACUAACGAGUAAUAAAGAGAUAGUGCGAGAAGUGGCGGGAACUAAGGAUAUACACAGACAUGCAGGAGGUAAACAGACACCUUUAAUUUUCAAAAUUUCUGAUCUAAGCAUCUUAAUAUAUUUUCAGCGGUGUAGAAUUUACAAUAUAAUUAUUCUUUUUUCGUUCCAGGUGCCAUUAUAUUAAACAUUUGCGAAGAGUAACCAUGCUACGCACAAAAAAUUCAGCAGCCGUAUUGUUGGGCAAUCUGAGGCUGGUCUUAGCCAGCGAAAAAUUGCCGAAAAUCCUCAAAUUCCUCUUGGUACUGUUAAUAGAAUUAUAGUGCAAUUCAAAAGCCAAGGAAAAGAAUCAACAGAUUCUCGUCACGGCCGACCUGGACUCUCGGAAACGGAGCUUCGCUGCUUGAAGAGAAUUGUGGAAAACGGACCCCGUUCGAAGGCUUCUGACAUUGCAAAACAGCUAGAAGUUAGUCCAAGAACGUGUGUUACAUAUCUGCAUAAGAUUGAGUAUUAUGGACGAGCAGCUAGAAGAAAGCCUCUCCUUCAACCAAUUAAUAUCAAAUAAAAGAUUUUGAAAAUUAAAGGUGUC
rnacentral:lncRNA from 1 species